GGACCAGCUUGGAUUGGAGCACAGGCCAACAGUGUUGUAUAGACAACAUGAGCCGUAUACUCAGUGUCGCUGUGAUCUCAAGUAUGGGCCUGUUGUGGCUACGAACCCACCAAGCCAAGUUCGUGUAGAUGGGCUGUGGACUGUGGUAGCGGCGCAAUAGGAGAACAGCAACGCACCAGCGGGGGCUGUGGACUGUGGUAGCGGCACCGGUCUGCAAGCACACGGCGGCACCAGCCGUGACCGGCGCGGCGGGGGGCUCCGUCGCCUCCCUGCUCACCUUUGCCAUGCUCCGCGCGCGACCGCCUCCGUCGCUGGCUUGUGUCUUCGUUACCUGUGUCUCUCCGCUUCACGCAGCCGUUGCGCUCUCCCAGCACGCGCGCCGCCGGCGCCCGGAGCCUUGCCUGCGAUGGCGUGCGUUUGCCACCAUGAUGCGCGCUCCGCGUUGGCGCAAGAUGACCCUACAGAGAGCUCGUCACAAGCCAGUGACUGCACUGGUGCAACGCAGUUUCAGAAUUUGGAGCCAAAAGAGCUGUUUUGACGUUGAUCGUACUGCACUAUGAUGACAUAGAGUGUCAAACAUUUCAAGUAUGGACUUAUGUUCUGUGUACUCCAAAUGGUGAGCAACAUAAUUUAGGUUAUGAGGACUUAAAGUUACAUAUAACUGGUUUCCCUGGAGACAUGUUGUUACAUUACACCAUGUUCUUUUUAAUUUGUAUGCAGCGAUAUGUAGCAUGGAUAGUAACGCAGCGGAAUUUACAAAACGUCAAGUA